CAAUAGCGUAUAUUAAAGCUGUUGCGGUUAAAAAGCUCGUAGUUGGAUUUCUGUCGAGGACAACUGGUCCGCCCUCCGGGUGAGCACAUAGUUUGGUCUUGGCAUCUUGCUGGAAGCUGUUGCUGCACUUGGCUGUGUGGCGCAGCGUCCAGCACUUUCACUUUGAGGAAAUUGGAGUGUUUCAAGCAGGCACAUGCCUUUGGACACAGUAGCAUGGAAUAAUUAGAUUGGGCUUUUGCUCCAAUUUGUCGGUUUCUGGAGCUGAGGUGAGAAUUAAUGGGGAUUGUUGGGGGCAUCCGAAUUUAGCCGUCAGAGGUGAAAUUCUUGGAUCUGCUAAAGACGGACAACUGCGAAAGCGUUUGCCCAGGAUGUUUUCAUUGA
rnacentral:rRNA from 1 species